GGCCUCGUAGUUCAACUGAAUAGAAUAUCAGAUUUCGGCUCUGAGGGUUGGGGGUUUGAAUCCCUCCGAGGUCA
rnacentral:tRNA from 2 species